GACGAACGCUGGCGGCGUGCUUAACACAUGCAAGUCGAACGGAAAGGCCUCUUUCGGGGGGUACUCGCGUGGCGAACGGGUGAGUAACACGUGAGUAACCUGCCCUUGACUUUGGGAUAACUUCAGGAAACUGGGGCUAAUACCGGCUAGGAGCUCCUGUUGCCUGGUGGGGGUUGGAAAGUUUCGGCGGUUGGGGAUGGACUCGCGGCGUAUCAGCUUGUUGGUGGGGUAGUGGCUUACCAAGGCUUUGACGGGUAGCCGGCCUGAGAGGGUGACCGGCCACAUUGGGACUGAGAUACGGCCCAGACUCCUACGGGAGGCAGAAGUGGGGAAUAUUGCACAAUGGGUGGAAGCCUGAUGCAGCAACGCCGUGUGCGGGAAGACGGCCUUCGGGUUGUAAACCGCUUUCGCUCAUGACGAAGCUUUGUGUGACGGUAGUGGGUAAAGAAGCACCGGCUAACUACGUG
rnacentral:rRNA from 1 species